rnacentral:rRNA from 1 species
UACGAAGGGGGCUAGCGUUGCUCGGAAUCACUGGGCGUAAAGGGUGCGUAGGCGGGUCUUUAAGUCAGGGGUGAAAUCCUGGAGCUCAACUCCAGAACUGCCUUUGAUACUGAAGAUCUUGAGUUCGGGAGAGGUGAGUGGAACUGCGAGUGUAGAGGUGAAAUUCGUAGAUAUUCGCAAGAACACCAGUGGCGAAGGCGAAUCCCUGGAAAAUACCUGACACUGAGGCACGAAAGCUGGGGGAGCAAACAGG